UCCUAGAUUCUCUUGGCCCAAAGGUUGGU
rnacentral:piRNA from 1 species